GAUGAACGCUGGCGGCGUGCCUAAUACAUGCAAGUCGAGCGAACAGACGAGGAGCUUGCUCCUCUGACGUUAGCGGCGGACGGGUGAGUAACACGUGGAUAACAUACCUAUAAGACUGGGAUAACUUCGGGAAACCGGAGCUAAUACCGGAUAAUAUAUUGAACCGCAUGGUUCAAUCGUUAAAGACGGUUUUGCUGUCACUUAUAGAUGGAUCCGCACCGCAUUAGCUAGUUGGUAAGGUAACGGAUUACCAAGGCAACGAUGCGUAGCCGACCUGAGAGGGUGAUCGGCCACACUGGAACUGAGACACGGUCCAGACUCCUACGGGAGGCAGCAGUAGGGAAUCUUCCGCAAUGGGCGAAAGCCUAACGGAGCAACGCCGCGUGAGUGAUGAAGGUCUUCGGAUCGUAAAACUCUGUUAUUAGGGAGGAACAAAUGUGUAAGUAACUAUGCACGUAUUGACGGUACCUAAUCAGAAAGCCACGGCUAACUACGUG
rnacentral:rRNA from 1 species